rnacentral:rRNA from 1 species
UGACGAACGCUGGCGGCGUGCUUAACACAUGCAAGUCGAACGGAAAGGCCCUGCUUUUGUGGGGUGCUCGAGUGGCGAACGGGUGAGUAACACGUGAGUAACCUGCCCUUGACUUUGGGAUAACUUCAGGAAACUGGGGCUAAUACCGGAUAGGAGCUCCUGCUGCAUGGUGGGGGUUGGAAAGUUUCGGCGGUUGGGGAUGGACUCGCGGCUUAUCAGCUUGUUGGUGGGGUAGUGGCUUACCAAGGCUUUGACGGGUAGCCGGCCUGAGAGGGUGACCGGCCACAUUGGGACUGAGAUACGGCCCAGACUCCUACGGGAGGCAGCAGUGGGGAAUAUUGCACAAUGGGCGGAAGCCUGAUGCAGCAACGCCGCGUGCGGGAUGACGGCCUUCGGGUUGUAAACCGCUUUCGCCUGUGACGAAGCGUGAGUGACGGUAAUGGGUAAAGAAGCACCGGCUAACUACGUGCCAGCAGCCGCGGUGAUACGUAGGGUGCGAGCGUUGUCCGGAUUUAUUGGGCGUAAAGGGCUCGUAGGUGGUUGAUCGCGUCGGAAGUGUAAUCUUGGGGCUUAACCCUGAGCGUGCUUUCGAUACGGGUUGACUUGAGGAAGGUAGGGGAGAAUGGAAUUCCUGGUGGAGCGGUGGAAUGCGCAGAUAUCAGGAGGAACACCAGUGGCGAAGGCGGUUCUCUGGGCCUUUCCUGACGCUGAGGAGCGAAAGCGUGGGGAGCGAACAGGCUUAGAUACCCUGGUAGUCCACGCUGUAAACGGUGGGUACUAGGUGUGGGGUCCAUUCCACGGGUUCCGUGCCGUAGCUAACGCUUUAAGUACCCCGCCUGGGGAGUACGGCCGCAAGGCUAAAACUCAAAGGAAUUGACGGGGCCCCGCACAAGCGGCGGAGCAUGCGGAUUAAUUCGAUGCAACGCGUAGAACCUUACCUGGGUUUGACAUGGAUCGGGAGUGCUCAGAGAUGGGUGUGCCUCUUUUGGGGUCGGUUCACAGGUGGUGCAUGGCUGUCGUCAGCUCGUGUCGUGAGAUGUUGGGUUAAGUCCCGCAACGAGCGCAACCCUUGUUCACUGUUGCCAGCACGUUAUGGUGGGGACUCAGUGGAGACCGCCGGGGUCAACUCGGAGGAAGGUGGGGAUGACGUCAAGUCAUCAUGCCCCUUAUGUCCAGGGCUUCACGCAUGCUACAAUGGCUGGUACAGAGAGUGGCGAGCCUGUGAGGGUGAGCGAAUCUCGGAAAGCCGGUCUCAGUUCGGAUUGGGGUCUGCAACUCGACCUCAUGAAGUCGGAGUCGCUAGUAAUCGCAGAUCAGCAACGCUGCGGUGAAUACGUUCCCGGGGCUUGUACACACCGCCCGUCAAGUCAUGAAAGUUGGUAACACCCGAAGCCAGUGGCCUAACCGUUGUGGGGGAGCCGUCGAAGGU